UACGUAGGGGGCUAGCGUUGUCCGGAAUCAUUGGGCGUAAAGGGUGCGUAGGCGGUCGCGCAAGUCGGAUGUGAAAUCUCAGGGCUCAACCCUGAAACUGCAUUCGAUACUGCGUGGCUAGAGUGCUGGAGAGGAGACUGGAAUUUACGGUGUAGCAGUGAAAUGCGUAGAUAUCGUAAGGAAGACCAGUGGCGAAGGCGAGUCUCUGGACAGCAACUGACGCUGAGGCACGAAGGCCAGGGGAGCAAACGGG
rnacentral:rRNA from 1 species